rnacentral:rRNA from 1 species
AUUGAACGCUGGCGGCAUGCUUUACACAUGCAAGUCGAACGGUAACAGGCCGCAAGGUGCUGACGAGUGGCGAACGGGUGAGUAAUGCAUCGGAACGUGCCCAGUCGUGGGGGAUAACGCAGCGAAAGCUGCGCUAAUACCGCAUACGAUCUCUGGAUGAAAGCGGGGGACCGAAAGGCCUCGCGCGAUCGGAGCGGCCGAUGUCAGAUUAGGUAGUUGGUGGGGUAAAGGCCCACCAAGCCAACGAUCUGUAGCUGGUCUGAGAGGACGACCAGCCACACGGGGACUGAGACACGGCCCAGACUCCGACGGGAGGCAGCAGUGGGGAAUUUUGGACAAUGGGCGCAAGCCUGAUCCAGCAAUGCCGCGUGCAGGAAGAAGGCCUUCGGGUUGUAAACUGCUUUUGUACGGAACGAAACGGUCCGGGUUAAUACCCUGGGCUAAUGACGGUACCGUAAGAAUAAGCACCGGCUAACUACGUGCCAGCAGCCGCAGUAA